GGGGGGUAAGCUUCAUUGUCGAGAGGGAAACAGCCCAGAUCACCAUUUAAGGCCCCUAAAUAUUCACUAAGUGGCAAAGGAUGUAAUAUUACAUAGACAACCAGGAGGUUGGCUUAGAAGCAGCCAUUCCUUUAAAAAGUGCGUAAUAGCUUACUGGUCAAGUGAUUUUGCGCCUAAAAUGAACGGGACUAAGUGAUUUGCCGAAAAUGUGAGAGAAAUCAGUAGAAGAGCGUUCUGUUUUUAUUAGAAGCAAUAGCGUAAGCAGUUGUGGAUUAACCAGAAGUGAGAAUGUCGGCUUAAGUAACGAAAACAUUGGUGGAAAUCCAAUGCCCCGAAAAUCUAAGGGUUCCUUAGCUAGGUUCGUCCACUAAGGGUUAGUCAGGUCCUAAAAUGAGGUUUAACAACGUAAUUGAUGGAUAACAGGUUAAUAUUCCUGUACCGAUUUUUAUUUAGCUAAGAGUGACGAAAAAGGCUAGGUCAUCCAAAUACUGGUUUUGGUUUAAUUUUUCAACGUGUUGACAGGUGUUAAUAAAAAAUACCUUGAGCGAAGGUUAAAAUACGAUAGAUGCUAAGGCAUUGAAAGUGAUCGAUGUCAUGUUUCCAAGAAAAACUUUUGUAGCGUGCAAUAGAAAUUGCCUGUACCGUAAACUGACACAGGUGGAUUAGUAGAGUAUACUAAGGGGCGCGAGAUAACUCUUUCUAAGGAACUCGGCAAAAUGACUCCGUAACUUCGGGAGAAGGAGUGCCUCUAUUUGAGGUCGCAGUGAUCAGGUCCAAGCGACUGCUUACCAAAAGCACAGGUCUCCGCUAAGUUGAAAAACUAUGUAUGGGGGCUGACGCCUGCCCAGUGCCGGAAGGUUAAAGAAAUUGGUUAGCGAAAGCGAAGCUAGUGACUGAAGCCCUGGUGAACGGCGGCAAUAACUAUAAUUGUCCUAAGGUAGCGAAAUUCCUUGUCGGGUAAGUUCCGACCCGCACGAAAGGCGUAACGAUUUGGACGCUGUCUUGGAAAGAGACUCGGUGAAAUAGAAUUGACCGUGAAGAUGCGGUCUACUUGCACUUGGACAGAAAGACCCUAUGAAGCUUUACUGUAACUUGAAAUUGGUUUUGGGCUUUUCUUGCGCAGAAUAGGUGGGAGGCUGAGAUCCUCUUUUUCGGAAGAAGGUGAGCCAAAAUGUGAGAUACCACUCUGGAGAAGUUAGAAAUCUAAUAGUAUUUUUUCAUCAAGAUGCUUGACAGUUUCAGGCGGGCAGUUUUACUGGGGCGGUAGCCUCCUAAAAGGUAACGGAGGCGUACAAAGGUUUUCUCAGUCUGGACGGAAAUUAGUUGUAGAGUGUAAAGACAUAAGAAAGCUUGACUGUGAGACCUAUAAGUCGAGCAGAGACUAAAGUCGGUCUUAGUGACCCGACGGUGCUGAGUGGAAAGGCCGUCGUUCAACAGAUAAAAGUUACUCUAGGGAUAACAGGCUGAUCUCCCCCAAGAGUUCACAUCGACGGGGAGGUUUGGCACCUCGAUGUCGGCUCAUCGCAACCUGGGGCGGUAGUACGUCCCAAGGGUUGGGCUGUUCGCCCAUUAAAGCGGUACGUGAGCUGGGUUCAGAACGUCGAGAGACAGUUCGGUCCAUAUCCGGUGUGAGCGUUAGAGUAUUGAAAGGAGCUUUCCUUAGUACGAGAGGACCGGGAAGGACACACCACUGAUGUACCAGUUUUUGUGCCAACAGAAUACGCUGGGUAGUCAAGUGUGGAGUGGAUAACUGC
rnacentral:rRNA from 1 species